UCCGUAGGUGAACCUGCGGAAGGAUCAUUACUGAAUAUGGAAUAUCUUAUUCUUAAACCCACACUGAGUACUUGUACUUGUUGCUUCCGUGGGCAGCGAAUGUUGUGUUUGCGCCUGCUGAUGAAGUGGACCCACGGGAGACACCAAUAAACUCUGCCUUUUUGUGAUAUAUAGUCUGACUCUGUUUAUUCUUUAAACGUUAAAACUUUCAACAACGGAUCUCUUGGUUCUCGCAUCGAUGAAGAACGCAGCGAAAUGCGAUAAGUAAUGUGAAUUGCAGAAUUCAGUGAAUCAUCGAAUCUUUGAACGCACCUUGCGCUCCUUGGUAUUCCGAGGAGCAUGCCUGUUUGAGUGUCAUGAAACUCUCACCCUCUAGCUUUCUUAAUCGUGGCUAGCGGCGUGGACGUGAGCGCUGCUGCUUUGUUGCGGCUCGCUCGAAAUGUAUUAGCAGACCUUUUCGUAAUCGGUUCACUCAACGUGAUAAGUAUUUCGUUGAGGACAGUUGC
rnacentral:rRNA from 1 species